CGCGGCAAGACGGAAAGACCCCGUGAACCUUUACUAUAGCUUGACACUGAACAUUGAGCCUUGAUGUGUAGGAUAGGUGGGAGGCUUUGAAGUGUGGACGCCAGUCUGCAUGGAGCCGACCUUGAAAUACCACCCUUUAAUGUUUGAUGUUCUAACGUGGACCCGUAAUCCGGGUUGCGGACAGUGUCUGGUGGGUAGUUUGACUGGGGCGGUCUCCUCCUAAAGAGUAACGGAGGAGCACGAAGGUUGGCUAAUCCUGGUCGGACAUCAGGAGGUUAGUGCAAUGGCAUAAGCCAGCUUGACUGCGAGCGUGACGGCGCGAGCAGGUGCGAAAGCAGGUCAUAGUGAUCCGGUGGUUCUGAAUGGAAGGGCCAUCGCUCAACGGAUAAAAGGUACUCCGGGGAUAACAGGCUGAUACCGCCCAAGAGUUCAUAUCGACGGCGGUGUUUGGCACCUCGAUGUCGGCUCAUCACAUCCUGGGGCUGAAGUAGGUCCCAAGGGUAUGGCUGUUCGCCAUUUAAAGUGGUACGCGAGCUGGGUUUAGAACGUCGUGAGACAGUUCGGUCCCUAUCUGCCGUGGGCGCUGGAGAACUGAGGGGGGCUGCUCCUAGUACGAGAGGACCGGAGUGGACGCAUCACUGGUGUUCGGGUUGUCAUGCCAAUGGCACUGCCCGGUAGCUAAAUGCGGAAGAGAUAAGUGCUGAAAGCAUCUAAGCACGAAACUUGCCCCGAGAUGAGUUCUCCCUGAGACUUAGAGUCUCCUGAAGGAACGUUGAAGACGACGACGUUGAUAGGCCGGGUGUGUAAGCGCAGCGAUGCGUUGAGCUAACCGGUACUAAUGAACCGUGAGGCUUAACCUUACAACGCCGAAG
rnacentral:rRNA from 2 species